GACGAACGCUGGCGGCGUGCUUAACACAUGCAAGUCGAACGGAAAGGCCCUGCUUUUAGGGUGCUCGCGUGGCGAACGGGUGUGUAACACAUGGGUGAUCUGCCCUCCUCUUCGUGAUAUGCCUGUGCGACUGUGUCUAAUACCUGAUAGAAGCCAUUUUUCGUCUUAUGGUUGGAUAGUUUUUUCGGUGUAGGAUGAGCUCGCGGCCUGUCAGCUUGCUGGUUGGGUUAUGGGCUACCAAGGCGGCGUCGGGUAGCCGGCCUGCGGGGGAGGACGGCCACAAUGGGAACGAGAGAAGGCCCAGACACCUAAGGGAGGGAGCAGGGGGGAAGAGUGGACAAUGGGCGCAAGGCUGAUGGAGCGACGCCGCGGGGCGGAAGACGGCCUUCGGGGUGUAAACUCCUUUCGGUAGGGAAGAAGCAUUGUGUGACGGUACCUAGAAAAGAAGCACCGGCUAACUACGUG
rnacentral:rRNA from 1 species